UGGGGUAUAUUGCACAAUGGGCGCAAGCCUGAUGCAGCCAUGCCGCGUGUAUGAAGAAGGCCUUCGGGUUGUAAAGUACUUUCAGCGGGGAGGAAGGGAGUAAAGUUAAUACCUUUGCUCAUUGACGUUACCCGCAGAAGAAGCACCGGCUAACUCCGUGCCAGCAGCCGCGGUAAUACGGAGGGUGCAAGCGUUAAUCGGAAUUACUGGGCGUAAAGCGCACGCAGGCGGUUUGUUAAGUCAGAUGUGAAAUCCCCGGGCUCAACCUGGGAACUGCAUCUGAUACUGGCAAGCUUGAGUCUCGUAGAGGGGGGUAGAAGUCCAGGUGUAGCGGUGAAAUGCGUAGAGAUCUGGAGGAAUACCGGUGGCGAAGGCGGCCCCCUGGACGAAGACUGACGCUCAGGUGCGAAAGCGUGGGGAGCAAACAGG
rnacentral:rRNA from 1 species